rnacentral:rRNA from 1 species
UACGUAGGGGGCAAGCGUUGUCCGGAAUCAUUGGGCGUAAAGAGCGUGUAGGCGGCUUGGUAAGUCCGCUGUGAAAGUCCAGGGCUCAACCCUGGAAAGCCGGUGGAAACUGUCAAGCUAGAGUCCGGAAGAGGCGAGUGGAAUUCCUGGUGUAGCGGUGAAAUGCGCAGAUAUCAGGAGGAACACCAAUGGCGAAGGCAGCUCGCUGGGACGGUACUGACGCUGAGGUGCGAAAGCGUGGGGAGCAAACAGG